rnacentral:rRNA from 1 species
GGAUUCCCCUAGUAACGGCGAGUGAAGCGGGAUGAGCUCAAGCUUAAAAUCUCCGUACAUAUCAUGUGCGGCGAAUUGUAGUCUAUAGAAGCGUGGUCAGUGUUGGCACUUGAGACAAGUUCCUUGAAAAAGGACAGCAUGGAGGGUGAAACUCCCGUUCAUACUUGAGUAGACUUCGCACGUACGGCCCGUUUUCUUUGAGUCGCGUUGUUUGAGAAUGCAGCGCAAAGUAGGUGGUAAAUUCCAUCUAAAGCUAAAUAUUGGUGCGAGACCGAUAGCGAACAAGUACCGUGAGGGAAAGAUGAAAAGAACUUUGAAAAGAGAGUUAAAGAGUACCUGAAACUGCUGAAAGGGAACCGGAUCGUUUCUAGUGUCUAUAAUCUGUGACAUAUUUCAUUGGGGAGUGUGUGCGUGUGUAUACUAUGGYAGUGGCUUUUUUGGCUGCGCUUGGUGUGCGUGCUGUAUGUGCUUACUGGUGCCCUGUGUUGCGGUGGGACGUCAAGGUCGGUUUGUAUACUGCGGGAAAUGGCUAUUGAGGAGGUAGGGCUUACGCUUGCGUUUGUCUAUUAUAUCUUGGUAGUUGUGUCGUGGUUGAGACUGAGGUGUCUACAACGUGCUUAUGAGUGGGACUGCGUCUCCGUGUGCGCCGUGUGCGGAUAGCUUGCUAUGUGUGUGUGGUGGUGCGUGGAUUGAUGCGGGCUUUAACUUGUUGCCGUUCGGGACGUUGACGAAAUAGAGCGAUUUGACCCGUCUUGAAACACGGACCAAGGAGUCUAACAUGUGUGCAAGUGUUAGGGUGUGGAAACCCAAGCGCGAAAUGAAAGUAAAGGAUAGUGUAAACUGUCUGAGGUAGGAAAUGCUGCGGAUUUCGGUCUGUGGUGUGGCACUAUCGACCGAUCAUGAACCUUCGUGGUGAAAGAUUUGAGUUUGAGCACAUAUGUUGGUACCCGAAAGAUGGUGAACUAUGCCUGAGUAGGGUGAAGCCAG